GACGAACGCUGGCGGCGUGCCUAAUACAUGCAAGUCGAGCGGACCGGAUUGGGGCUUGCCUUGAUUCGGUCAGCGGCGGACGGGUGAGUAACACGUGGGCAACCUGCCCGCAAGACCGGGAUAACUCCGGGAAACCGGAGCUAAUACCGGAUAACACCGAAGACCGCAUGGUCUUCGGUUGAAAGGCGGCCUUUGGGCUGUCACUUGCGGAUGGGCCCGCGGCGCAUUUGCUAGGUGGGGAGGUGACGGCUCACCAAGGCGACGAUGCGUAGCCCGACUGGGAGGGGGGACGGCCACCACGGGACUGGGACACGGCCCCGGCUCCUACGGGGGGCAGCAGGAGGGGAGCUUCCGCCAUGGGGGGAAGCCUGGAGGGGCGACGGCGGGGGGGCGAAGAAGGCCUUCGGGUCGUAAAGCCCUGUUGUGAGGGACGAAGGAGCGUCGUACGAAGAUGGCGGCGCGGUGACGGUACCUCACGAGAAAGCCCCGGCUAACUACGUG
rnacentral:rRNA from 1 species